UGUAAUUAAAACUCAUGCACUGCAAUGGUCAUGUCUCAAACUUGAAACAAUUUUGUUUCACAACUAACACCAUCACCAUCUGUAUAUGCUAAUCUGUAUAUAGAAACCGAUAAAAUUUCAUGCCAUCUACAUAUUUACAUUGCCAAUAAUCAGUAACAAGGUUGCUUCCAAUUACAAGAAAAUUAGAUCAAUCUAACUAACCUCUAAGGUUUGUCCCUAUUCUUACUGUAACUCUAAUUUUGUGUAUUGGGAUUUUCCAUAUAAUGGCUAGAAUGGAACAAAAAUUCCUGAUAAAUAACUUCGAUGCAUAGAAGCAUGCUAAUAAGCUCACAACCAUAUACUGCUACACUAUGGAUUGUUUGGCUUUUCUUUGGUUCAGCAGGAUCUGCUCUUCUGGCCUUUAUGCAUGGUUUAUCUUUCACUGCAGAUUGAAAAAUUACUUAAUACCAAGUAGGUGCUACCAGUACACUUCUCUUUUUCACCAUGUGCCAGAAACCAUUACUGAGACAAAUUAUUCAACCUCAAAACGUCACCAACACUCCAAACGAAAUAAAACAGCCAUAGCAAAGGAAAGCACGCCAUCAUCAGUCAUAAUCAUAAAAGAGAACUAUCUUUAAAAGCAGUAUUCCAAGGCUUGGUUACUUCUCUAGGGCAGGCCCUAUACAGCUUUUAUGCUGGAAAUGGUCUUGCUUAUGUUUUUAUCAUACUUAAUAGGAACAAGUUUGAUGGCCCCUAACAUCUUGAGACAGUUCUGUCAAGCAGUGCAAGUAAGCAAUCAAAAUUUGAGAGCAUAAUUUAGCAAAUUUGAGAGUUGAGACUAUAAUCAGCUAUCAUUUUUCAGUACAUCAUCAAUUGAUGAAAUUUCAUUAAGAUUCGAACAAAGAAAAUUGUACAAAGAGUUUGUUUUUCACUUACUUAAGAUAGAUGUUCUACUAGCUAUGUUUUACUAUAUUGCAACAAAUACCAUAGCAAAAAAAGAAUACAAAAAAAAAAAACCUAGUUAUUGCUCAAGUAAUAGCCGCUAGGCCAGUACCAACAUAACAUUUAAGCAUGAACAUCAUAAAAGAUGGAUGAUGAGACAUUAGUAGAUGGUAAAAAGAUAUGUCAAACAAACAUGUCCAUUGCAGUCUGUUAGACAUAAAAUUACCUGAAUGGAAGAAUAUAAUAGAAUAGCAUUAUGACUGCAAUCCAAAAUGUUUACCAAUCUCUUCUUAUUGCACCAGGAUGGUCAGUCACGUUAUGACCACCUCAACUCAAAUAUUGAUCAUUAAGACUUUAUGGUCUAUCUGCCAUUAUUUUUGUGACUCACAAAAUUGAGAAAGGAGUUGAAUUACUCAGGCAAUUCAGAAACUGGCGAUACUCAAC
rnacentral:lncRNA from 1 species